CCUACGGGUCGCACCAGUGGGGAAUAUUGCACAAUGGGCGCAAGCCCGAUGCAGCCAUGCCGCGUGUAUGAAGAAGGCCUUCGGGUUGUAAAGUACUUUCAGCGGGGAGGAAGGUGUUGUGGUUAAUAACCACAGCAAUUGACGUUACCCGCAGAAGAAGCACCGGCUAACUCCGUGCCAGCAGCCGCGGUAAUGCGAAGGGUGCAAGCGUUAAUCGGAAUUACUGGGCGUAAAGCGCACGCUGGCGGUCUGUCAAGUCGGAUGUGAAAUCCCCGGGCUCAACCUGGGAACUGCAUUCGAAACUGGCAGGCUAGAGUCUUGUAGAGGGGGGUAGAAUUCCAGGUGUAGCGGUGUAAUGCGUAGAGAUCUGGAGGAAUACCGGUGGCGAAGGCGGCCCCCUGGACAAAGACUGACGCUCAGGUGCGAAAGCGUGGGGAGCAAACAGGAUUAGAUACCCUUGUAGUC
rnacentral:rRNA from 1 species